GACGAACCGUGCGAACGUUAUUCGGAAUCACUGGGCUUAAAGGGCGCGUAGGCGGGCCGCAUAGUCAGGGGUGAAAGCCUCCAGCUCAACUGGAGAAGUGCCUUUGAUACUGGCGGCCUCGAGGGGUGCAGGGGCGUGCGGAACUUAGGGUGGAGCGGUGAAAUGCGUAGAUAUCCUAAGGAACACCGGUGGCGAAGGCGGCACGCUGGACACCUUCUGACGCUGAGGCGCGAAAGCCAGGGGAGCAAACGGG
rnacentral:rRNA from 1 species